rnacentral:rRNA from 1 species
UACGUAGGGUGCGAGCGUUGUCCGGAAUUACUGGGUGUAAAGAGCUCGUAGGUGGUUUGUCGCGUUGUUCGUGAAAACUCACAGCUUAACUGUGGGCGUGCGGGCGAUACGGGCAGACUGGAGUACUGCAGGGGAGACUGGAAUUCCUGGUGUAGCGGUGGAAUGCGCAGAUAUCAGGAGGAACACCGGUGGCGAAGGCGGGUCUCUGGGCAGUAACUGACGCUGAGGAGCGAAAGCGUGGGGAGCGAACAGG